UACAGAGACUGCAAGCGUUAUUCGGAUUCACUGGGCGUAAAGGGUGCGCAGGCGGCCAGGUGUGUUAGGUGUGAAAGCCCGGGGCUUAACCCCGGAAUUGCACCUAAAACUACAUGGCUAGAGCAUUGGAGAGGGGAGCAGAAUUCACGGUGUAGCAGUGAAAUGCGUAGAUAUCGUGAGGAAUACCAGAGGCGAAGGCGGCUCCCUGGACAAUUGCUGACGCUCAGGCACGAAAGCGUGGGGAGCAAAAGGG
rnacentral:rRNA from 1 species